rnacentral:rRNA from 1 species
AUGCACGCUGGCGGCGUGCCUAAUACAUGCAAGUCGCGCGCACAGACGAGGAGCUUGCUCCUCUGACGUUAGCGGCGGACGGGUUAGUAACACGUGGAUAACCUACCUAUAAGACUGGGAUAACUUCGGGAAACCGGAGCUAAUACCGGAUAAUAUAUUGAACCGCAUGGUUCCAUAGUGAAAGACGGUUUUGCUGUCACUUAUAGAUGGAUCCGCGCCGCAUUAGCUAGUUGGUAAGGUAACGGCUUACCAAGGCAACGAUGCGUAGCCGACCUGAGAGGGUGAUCGGCCUCACUGGAACUGAGACACGGUCCAGACUCCUACGGGAGGCAGCAGUAGGGAAUCUUCCGCAAUGGGCGAAAGCCUGACGGAGCAACGCCGCGUGAGUGAUGAAGGUCUUCGGAUCGUAAAACUCUGUUAUUAGGGAAGAACAAAUGUGUAAGUAACUAUGCACGUCUUGACGGUACCUAAUCAGAAAGCCACGGCUAACUACGUG